rnacentral:tmRNA from 1 species
GGCCUUUCACAUCUGGCCGACGACGCCUAUAUUAGGGGCGUCGGGCAACCGACUAUGGCGAUAAACGCCUUGUGGAAUAAGCGUUACGGACCCGGGGGCGGUACCCGGCGCCUCCACCAUUAAUCCUUUCACCGCAGCCAGUUAGGCUACCGGCGGGGCAAAUGGGGGCGAAACAGGAUCGACGUGCGCGGUAAAGACAUGGCUUUUGCUCGGUAUGGUACCCGCCGUUAUCGGGCCAACCCUAGAGAUGCCAACGACAACGUUGCAUCUGAUCUUCGUAUGGCUGCCUAACAUCCCUAACGGGCUGUAAGUAGCUUACAAGAACGCGGUACCCGGGGGGCGCCGGGCAACAGAAAGCCCCCCACC